AGGUCAGUGCAAAAAUCAUUGCAGUUUUUUACCAUUACUUUUAAUGGCAAAAACUGCAAUUACUUUUGCACCAACCUAAUAUU
ensembl:miRNA